rnacentral:lncRNA from 1 species
GCGCGUUAAGGGAAGUCCUGCUGGUCGAAUGCGACCUGGACAUGGCGUGGGAGCGCCGAGCUGUCCCCUUGUGGAUGGGGAGCUUUCGUUCACUCAGCAGACGUUUAUGGGGCGCAUGCGUGACUCUGGGGCGUUUAGCUGAGCCGGAGGCCCCGGCUCUUGGGGACGCGGUGGGCUGGCGGCGUCGGAUCACCCCGCCAUCCAUCUCACCACUCCCAGCGCUGAGCCCGGGGGGCGGGGAGAGUCCCUCAUGGGAAGGGGAGGCCGUGUGCCCCGCCUGGCUCCCACCACGUUCGCAGGCCGGCCGGGCGCCCCUCGCAGCCCCCUCUCCGGCCUCGCGGUGGCGCCGCUCCCCCCUUAGCGCCCAGCGGGGUCCCGGCCGGAAGACUGAAGGCUGAGUGGGACUGGGCACGGCGCGAAACCGGCAUCCUGAUAACUAGGAUUUACAGAAUAAGGCUGACUCCUGUCAGCUCGUGACCCAGCCCUGGGCGUCCUCCACGGGGCAGCUGUCAUUCCCUAACCGCCCCCCACCAAACCCCUGCACCUCCGAGCUGAAUCCGUGAGGCGGAGAGAGGGGGCUGCACUUCCCACGUGGUAGUUCCGGUACUCGUUAAUGUUAAGGAAUUAGAGUUUGCUUUUCAGUAGACAGCUGCUUUCCUGACUGUGGUGGCCAACCUCUAGAUCCACCUGCUUGACUUCGCUUUCCAGGGAGGUCUCCUAUGUGAAGAAACAAAGCUGCCUCACUAGAAAAGAUCAGGAAACAGCAGCGUUCUGUGAGGUCCUGUGCAAUACCAGGUUGGACCUUGCG